UUUCCGUAGGUGAACCUGCGGAAGGAUCAUUAACAAAUCCAAAACACGCGUGUUGGAUCAAGUGACAGACGAGUGCAAGUUGGUCGAGUGAACGGUGUGUCCCCAUGUUGGGCCAUGCUAUCGACUUUAUAUGAGCCUUGUCACCACGUUGCUUGAUCUAUUCAUAACACACACAACACUCACUUUACCAUUUGACAACCAAGAGUAACCUAAAACGUUAAAUCGAAACAACUUUUAACAAUGGAUCUCUCGGCUCUU
rnacentral:misc_RNA from 1 species